rnacentral:rRNA from 1 species
CCUACGGGUGGCAGCAGUGGGGGAUAUUGCACAAUGGGGGGAACGCUGAUGCAGCGACGCCGCGUGGGUGAAGAAGGGCCUCGGCGCGUAAAGCCCUGUCAGCAGGGAAGAAAAUGACGGUACCUGAAGAAGAAGCCACGGCUACGUCCGUGCCAGCAGCCGCGGUACUACGUAGGGGGCAAGCGUUAUCCGGAUUUACUGGGUGUAAAGGGGGAGCAGACGGCGAUGCAAGCCAGGAGUGAAAGCCCGGGGCCCAACCCCGGGACUGCUCUUGGAACUGGGUGGCUUGAGUGCAGGAGAGGCAGGCGGAAUGCCUGGUGUAGCGGUGAAAUGCGUAGAUAUCAGGAGGAACACCGGUGGCGAAGGCGGCCUGCUGGACUACAACUGACGCUGAGGCCCGAAAGCGUGGGGAGCAAACAGGAUUAGAUACCCGUGUAGUC